rnacentral:rRNA from 1 species
AGCUCCAAUAGCGUAUAUUAAAGUUGUUGCAGUUAAAAAGCUCGUAGUUGAACUUUGGGCCUGAGCCCCUGGUCCGCCGCAAGGCGUGUACUUCGUGGGCUCGGGCCUUUCCUUCUGGUUAGCCUUGGUGUCUUUUAUUAGGUGCCUUGGUGAUCCAGGACUUUUACUUUGAAAAAAUUAGAGUGUUCAAAGCAGGCCUUCGCUCGAAUAUAUUAGCAUGGAAUAAUAGAAUAGGACGUAUGGUUCUAUUUUGUUGGUUUCUAGGACCGUCGUAAUGAUUAAUAGGGACAGUCGGGGGCAUCAGUAUUCAAUUGUCAGAGGUGAAAUUCUUGGAUUUAUUGAAGACUAACUACUGCGAAAGCAUUUGCCAAGGAUGUUUUCA